rnacentral:lncRNA from 1 species
GGCAGAGCCCAGCCACCAGGGUCUGCUCCAUGCCUGGUCCCUGGAGAGGCCCUCACCCUCUCUGCUUUCACCCAACCCGACUGACACGGAGUAGGAGGUGGGAAUCAUGCAGGCAGGGAGCUUAGGAAGCCUGGUUCAAGAUUGCUUUGAAUGGCAGGCCCCCUGCUGUGCUCCUGGGGAGAGAGCCUGAAACCUGGAUGCUCGGGAGCCCCUCAGAUCCGUCAUCUGUCCCCGACACCCCUGUGGUGAGCCUUGCCACUGGGCCCUGAGAAGCUCAGAGCAGUCGAGUCAGGGCAGUGGGACAUGACCCAGGUCAGAUGUGGCUUUUCCGUAAUUGUACACCAAUGAUCAAGAGAAAAUGAAGGAUUUUAAUAUGUAAGUCCUUGUCAGGAACCCCGGCCCACCCUUGACCCCAGCCAUGUGCCCCUAGGAGCCUGGGACCCCCAGCCCAGUAGGCGUGCAUCAGUGUCCACAUGCACCCAUGCAAGUACACAGGAUGCACUCAGGACAUGGCCCCAGAAGCCAGGAUGGAUCCAGUGCCCCCCAACCUGGUGUCCUGCUUCCUGAGAUGAGUCCAACUAUUCUCUCCCCCUCCCCCAGCACACACCUACACUUGAUGGCAGGGAAAUAAUUAUUUCCUGCAGAAUGGGCUGCAAAUGUAACAAACCCCCUGACCUUCAGUCUGAAGAGAGAGAACUAUCAACCACACAGAAGCAAAGAUCCAGAGAAAUACUGAGGGAUGCUACCAGACACUCAACCAGGGCCACUCUCCGAGAUUCCAGCCAGCCACACAGCAAAGAUGCUGGCCGGGGACACUGCCCCAAACCACCAGACAGAACCCCAAAGAAACAGCUCCACACACAGUGGAAGAUACACCAGAGACUGUUAGAAGGACCAUCAGACAAAGCCAAAGAGACAGGUAGAUGAAACCAGAUAACCAGCCAGAGAGGUGGUCAGAGAACAGCGACACAAUCAAAGGACCCACCAGAAACACUGUAAAGGACUCAGCUAGACCCAGGCAGAUACACUGCCGAAGGACGAGCAAGGAGCACAGGCAGUGAAGCCGUCGGCGACAAAGCCAGAGAGCUAAGACACUGUCAGAAACAGUGCCAGAGAAACCGUCUGACACACAAGCAGAGAAAUACCAGAGAAACUGAUAGACGCAAACAGGCGUACACCCAGAAAAACAGCUUGAGAGAAGAGCCAGAGCCACAGCCAGAUGCUCAGUCAGGAAGUAUCCACACCACUCCAAACACUGCCAGAGACACUGUCAGACACACAGUCAGACACACUGCCAGAGACACCGUUAUAAAGACUGCCAGAGAAACAGCCAGACACACAGCCAGAAAAACUGACAGAGACGCAGUGCCAGAUAUACCCCGAGAAAGUGCCAGAGACUCAGCUCCAGACAGUGCAGACAUAGCAUAACAGAGACAAAUGUGGGUAUCAGCCUGAAGCAGCUGCGGAGAGGCUGGAGAGCAAUGAACUUCCUGGGGCUUCCUGUGGGAGAGGGCUCCUGCCUGCCUUUUGCUACCCUUGACCCUCUCCAGGAAAGUCCCCUCCUCUGAGCCUGCUUUUCCUUUCCUCCCUGUCACAGCCACAGGUGCCCUGACUGCCCCUCCCUGGCACAGUAAAUCUCUCUGUGUCCUAAGUGGCCCCAGCUACCCUUUGCGCAUCAGUGACUCCUGGAGCCUUAGCUACCACUUGGCCUGGCUCCUUCUGACCCUCAGCCCCUCACCACUCUUCAGCUACUCCUCAGGCCUAGGAGGUUAAGACAAUGGCCAAAGUUACACAGCCAGCAAGCCGUGCAGCCAGGAAAUGAACCCAGGACUGCCUGAAUUCAGAGCUGGUGUAAGAGAGAGAAAACGAGACCAGCAGCCAGAGGCCUACCUGGUUCCCCAACCUCAGCCCUGGCCAGUCG